rnacentral:rRNA from 1 species
UACGUAGGGUGCAAGCGUUGUCCGGAAUUAUUGGGCGUAAAGAGCUCGUAGUCGGUGUGUCGCGUCUGCCGUGAAAACCUGCGGCUUAACCGUGGGCGUGCGGUGGAUACGGGCACACUUGAGUUCGGUAGGGGAGACUGGAAUUCCUGGUGUAGCGGUGGAAUGCGCAGAUAUCAGGAGGAACACCAAUGGCGAAGGCAGGUCUCUGGGCAGUUACUGACGCUGAGGAGCGAAAGCAUGGGUAGCGAACAGGAUUAGAUA